GUAGUAUUCCCUCCGUUCCUAAAUAUAAGUCUUUGGAGAUAUUUCACUAUGGACCACAUACGGAUUUUUUCUCCGUAUGUGGUCCAUAGUGAAAUCUCUCCAAAGACUUAUAUUUAGGAACGGAGGGAGUAGUAU
rnacentral:pre_miRNA from 1 species